rnacentral:lncRNA from 1 species
UACCGUAUUGAUGUUUCAUACACUUUUCUGGAUUUCAAGUUAUUUUGCAAUUCAUCGUUCUCAUUUGGAGUCAAACGGACUGUAAUUAAUUCACUUUCUGGGUUAGAAGAAUAUGUAGUUGGCCUGUCUCAUGCUAAGUUUACAAUUCUCAGCUGCUUUCCUUCAAAUUGGCAAAACACUGACAUAACUUAUGUAAGUAUACAUAAAUCAAUACUGGCAGACAUCUUUAACUGAAAUAUAGGAUUGUGUCGGGUCUGUUGACAGGUGAGUAGUAGAGAUGCUGUUGUGACUGUGUGUCACUUUUACUUUUAUAUUUGCUCGCUUUUUUCCUGCCAAAUCUGGUCACAAAUAUUCCUGUAACCAUGGUAACAAUUCUGGCAGUUUUAUGCUGUUCACACUUUUCAUUUCAUUUUCUAUUUCAGAAUUGAACUUUGUUGUUUCCAUUUUUAUUUUUGAAAGCUCAUGAAUUUUUUGAAUUUUUUUUUAAGUUAAAUAGUUAUUUGUUUUUCAAUGAAACUGUAACAAGUCAUAUACACAAAUGUGUGGAAACAGACCUCAUGUCUUGACCGUGGUGAUUGAUUGUUUUGCAUAUUCUGUAAAGUUGAAAUAUGUUGCUGUCUGUCUUAAUGGACUUAACAUGCUUAAUUCACAGGUCUGCUGGGUAUGGUGUUAUUUUCAACAAUGUGUCCUUAACUUGAAUUGCAAGCACAAUAUAGAUUUGGUUUUCAACGAAAAGCUAAGCUACUUGAAUACAUGGUAGAGGCUAUGUUCGAGGUAAAACCUGGAUGUUGCGUUGAUCAGUGAUUUUACCUGACAUUCAAGACUAGAAAGUUCAGAUUUGUAACUUGAAUUGUAUUUUUGCAUUGCCUAUUUGUUUCGUGAUCAGGCUAGUGACCAAUUAUUGACGAAGACCAAUUAUAUUGCAACUUGCUUUUCUUCAGCUCAUUUUCUUAUUUGAAGGGAGUGGUUUAUCUCAAAUAUUAUCUCGUUUCAGUCAUUUGGAAAUAUUAUAAAUACACCAGAAAACUCAAAAUAAUUUCAAAUGGUACAUGCAGUCGUGUCACAUAAACAAAACUCCAACUAGGUCUGUCUGAAAAAAUAUGAUUUUACAACUGAGUUAGCCUUUUUCUUGAAACAUACAUAACCUGAAGAUAUUACAAACUUUACAGUAAAUAGUGUUAUUUGUAAACAUGUUAAGAAUGUAAUUUGAGGAAUAUUGGUUUAUGUCCAUUGGCAGUCGAUGCAUUGAUUAAAAAAUAUAUCAUACCAGAAAUUAUAAGAAAUGUAAUUUGUAUACCUGUGGAGAUGCGAGGGAUGAUGUUGCAUAAGACAAUAGGGAUGACUGGAAUGGUAAGUCACAGGGAAAGUUCUAUUUCCACUGUCUUGAAUCCCCAUCUCAGUGGAAUAACAGAAACUGACUCAACCUUUUUCCAUGGACUUCAAACAGAGCAUUUGCUCAUUGUUUCAACAGUCAGAGUAAGUGGUACAGUAAACUUUCAUUUCCAAAUAUUUCAGAAAUAACGCUUUAAAAAAUUGUCACAACUGGUCAGUGGCCAGUACACAUUUACUUUAUAUAAUUAUCUAAAUGUAUCCACCAGUACUCAUUGUCCUGUAUCACUGAACAUGACAUCAAUAUAAUGUGUGCACACAGAAUUCCCAAAACUUCACAUAAUGAUAUCUCAUUUCCUACCGAGGGACACACACUACAAUGGUGCCUUGCAAACAAGAGAUGCUUUCAGUGUCUAGAGUUUAUUUAUGCUACAAACACCUUAUGAUGUGUGUCUUUAACCAUGAAUCUAUUUUUGGCCAAUACCUGUGCUGGGAUUUCCCUUUGUUUAGCAUACUUGUUUUUGCUCCAUGUGGUGUUCUAUGUCGUUUUUGUCUGUCCCAAAUUAGCCACGAUUGUUGUCCUUCGUUGGUCAUGCCCCACCUGUGUUUGUUGGUUUCACCAGAGUGAUAUACGUCUAUGAUCUGCAUCACAUUAGGCGUUAACUACAACAAUCAGCUGACGUGCCAGGAUAAGACUAAAUACUGUGAAAGUUAUGAGGAUAAGACUAAAUACUGUAAAAGUUAACAGAAUAAGACUAAAUACUGUAAAAGUUAUCUGGAUAAGAAUAAAUCCUGACAGGAUAAGACAUAAUGUUGUUAAGAGUUGUCAGGAUAAGAUUAAAUACAGCUAAAAGUUGCCAAGAUAAGAUUUUAUACUUUUAUAAGUUGCCCAUAAAAGGCCCUUUACUGUUAAAUGUUUCUUGGAUAAGACUUUAUACAAGUAAAGGUUGCCAUGAUAAGACUCUUUACUUUUGAAGUUGCAUUAAACCUAAUGCUCUGAUGAUCAAAUUAAUUUAGUUAUUUCAUCAGUUUGUAUCACUAGGCAUCUCUGUUGUGGAGUGAGAUUAUGUGAAACUUCCUUUUCCCUUUCUAACUCUCGCAUAUAUUGCAGUUCAUGAUGACCUGUUUGUUUCUAUAAAUUCCCUGUUCAUUGGUAGCACAAUGGAAUGUCAAAAUAGUCAAGUUUGCAUUUUGGCAUGAUAGCUAUGUUUGUGUCAGAGCAGUGAUGUUUUAUGCUUAGACAUAACAGCUUUGUUCAUGUCUCAACAGCAGUAUUAUGUCUAGACAUAACAGCUAUGUAGUGUCAUAACAGCAUUGUUGGGUCUAGACAUAACAGCUUUGUUCGUGUCACAACAGCAGUAUUAUGUCUAGACAUAACAGCUAUGUAGUGUAAUAACAGCAUUGUUGUGCCUAGACAUAACAGCUUUGUUCGUUUCCCAACAGCAGUAUUAUGUCUAGACAUAACAGCUAUGUAGUGUCAUAACAGCAUUGUUGUGCCUAGACAUAACAGCUUUGUUCGUGUCACAACAGCAGUAUUAUGUCUAGACAUAACAGCUAUGUAGUGUCGUAACAGCAUUGUUGUGCCUAGACAUAACAGCAAUGUUCAUGUCACAACAGCAGUGUUAUGUCUAGACAUAGCAGUAUUGCAUCCAGACAUUACAGCGGUGUAUGUGUCUUGACAAGACAGGUAUGUUUGCGUCACAACAGCUAUGUUUGUGUCUUGACACAGCAUCUAUUUAUGAUACUUCUUUCGACAUGAACCUUUUCAUCAGCUGUUGCGCUGGCAUCCUCAGGUAUUGUCUAGUCAUAACCACACACCUCCAGUCCCCCCUGCCCUUCAGAUGAUUGCAAGGAAUAUGUCAUGGUUAACUCUUCCUCUCUUCACCCCACCCAACAAACAAAACAUUCAAGAUAUCAUCAUACUCUAGUUGUAAAAGUCCCAGUGAUCUUAUGCACCACUGCCCCUUCUGCAAAGUUACAUCCCUUACACAGCAGCCAGGAUCUGCCGUUCCUGGGUUUGAAUCCUGGGAUCCGCAGGAUUGUGAUCCUAGAUCCUUUGACCUUGUCGUGGCCCCUGUCAGAUAGCUUGAACUACAUCUCUGUUAUGUGUAUUGAAGAUAAUCAUGUUUUGUCACCUAUAUGAACCUGAUGUUAACCCUUACUAUGCUAAUUAAAUGACACAAUAAGUAUCAUUACAUAGUGCUCAUUGUUUUUAUUUGUUUGUAAUGUUUAUAUAAAUGACAUGUAUUUUAUUUAAUGAACAUUUUCAAUAUUUGUAUACUUUGGGGGUAUAACAUGAUUAUAUCGUAAGCCUUUUUCAUUCAUAAUGUUCAGUUUUGAGGCAGUCAGUCCCGCCCAUUUGCAGCCAGCUCACCUGCAUCAAUAUGUUAUCCUCAUUGUUUAUGUCUUCUUACUUGGUUAGGGGGGCAAGGGUGGCCCAGUCGUCUAAGGUGCUACGAUUCGCUGUGCAGAGUUGCAUCCCCUGGGCACGCCAGAAACCUAUGAUUGUGGGUUCGAAACCCGGUUCGCCACGAUUAUGUUCCUAGGUGUUUGUCAGCAUCAUACCCGUGCUCGUGGGUUUCGCGGAAGUGGUAAACGUCUGAGACCUGCAUCACUUCUGGCUUUCCUCCCACAUUAAGCUGACACGCAGUGAUAUAACUGGUAUAAUCUUAUAAGCGGCGUUAAACCCAACUCACUCACUCAAUCUUACUUGGUCGGGCUAGUGGUUAAAGUGCUCACUCAUCAUGCUGAAGGUUCAAUUCCCAACAUGGGUACAAUGUGUGAAACCCAUUUCUGGUGUCCCAAACCAUGAUAUUGCUGGAAUACUUCAAAGAUUGGCAUUAAACUAAACUCACUCACUCACUCACUCUUACUUCAUUUACAGGUCCACUGACGAUGAAUUCUGAAAUGUGAAAUGAAAUCAACAUUUUGAGAACAUUUUGUAUAUUCUUCAUGACAUUUCAGUAAUGGCAAGAAAGUUCAGUGUGGGAGAGAAUAUAAAAGAAACACGUACUUCUUAUGUUUACCCAAUUACCAAUACUUUUUAAGAAAUAUCUUUAAAAAAUGGUUGCUUUGAAGUUAAAUGUGUUUAAUGGCCACCAAGUCAACAAUUUAAAAAAAAUACAAGAUAACACAUUCAUAGCAAUAGGCCUCAGAAUAAAUAAUACAACUGACUCAUUGAUUUGACUCAUCUUCAAUCCAAAUUUGGAUUUAUCUCCAUUUAUGAAAUUUUAUGUUUAACUCAUUUACGAGGAAUAUUUUUCUCAUGUUAUAUUUCUAAUUUAGCAUGUUAAUAAUUGCUUGUAUUUUUCUCAUCCUCCACAAGCUGAAUGAACAGUAUCUCAUGGUUAUUACGUUAUCAUUUCUCCACAGGUUAACCUGACUGUCUUUCUUGUGCCUGUCUGAAUGUCUGAAAAUUAGAAAUAAAUAAAUGUAACUGCAUUUGUUUUGGGGUUUAUUUUAAAAAACUAUUUGGUUCAUUUUUGUUGUUGAUGUUUGUUUGUUUAUAUUUUGCAUUUAAUUUUGUUUCAAGAGCAAUUGUUUAGGAAAUAUUAAGUUAGCCAUAUAUGUAACAGGUGUUUCAGUCUAAAGUUUGGAAACAAGAAAAAUUGAUUUGACAUGUAAUAGAAGUUGUGAUGGUCCGAAAUGUCUGUUAGAGUUACCUCCCCUUAAUUGCCAGUUGAGAUCCCAGUCUGAAAAGGCAAUUUGAUACAGUGUUAUCACUUUCUGUGUUGUAACUGUGCUUUGUAAGUUGUCUGCAUUUGUCUCAACAGGUAAUAUGUAUUCAGGAAAAUGUGAAGCCAGUAAUACAAAGAGUAACUGUAUUCAUACAUUGGAUUAGUUGGAUUAGUAACCUGUAUUCCUUAUUUUGUAAUCACCCAUUAUUCUCACAUUAUUAUUUUUUGUUGUGAUUUAUUUGUUUGUUACUUAUAUUUAUUUCUCAUAAUCAUUGAUGUAUUGCCUGUAUUGAAGGUGUUGUGAUUCAGUCAACCUAUAACCACAUGUGACUUCUGACCACAGCUAUAUACAGUUUGUAUGUAGAGAAAUGCAUAUUCAAGCUAAGUAAUCGCUUUAUUUUGUGUCGUGUAUCAUAGUGUAUAGAGAUACUGAUACUUUUGUUGGGCCUUGAAAAAAGUAAACACUGAUUGGAAUAUUUUCAAAAUGACAUGGUCAGCAGGAUUUUUGUUACUUUGUUAUGCUCUUUUUGGUAGACAGACAACUAAAGACCUAUCAUGGUGGCAAAGUCAGGUCAUUGAAGGGCUUUUCGCUUUGUAAUCCUGGACAGUUUUGACAUCGAUUGUAUACAGACAAAACCAACCACUAAACAUUUUUCUCAUGACAUGUUUUAAAAUGAUGAAAACAUUUUUUGAAUAUUUCAUGUCUUUAUAUUGUCAAUACACAGACAAAAUUGUAACGUUAGUAAAAAAUGUUUUUAGUUAUUCAUUCACAAUUUGGCUUUAGCUCAUGCACAGCAUAAAUUAUUAUCACAUUUUUUAUAGAUCAUUUUCACAUAAUAUUACUAAGCAAAACAUGCCAUAUUUGCCUUGCUCGAGAAAAUCAGUUCCAAUUCAAAUAUAUGAGGAUAUGAUUAUUCUGAAUGCAACGUACUGUCUGUGUUGGAAGAUGUAGAAGUUUGUACUGAUACAGUGAUGUCAUUAAUCAUGUGUAAGGAUGUACAGUGAUGAAGCAUCUUGGUUGUCUUUCUGUUCAUCCGUUUCAUGAGGGACAGUAUCAAACCAUUCUUUGAGACUUAAGAUUAGAAAUUUAUCAUGGCUGGUAUUUACCGGGUAAUAUAUCAUUUCUAUUAGACCAAUAAUUUAACGGAUUCAUAGGUACAAUGUAUGAGGUAUGUAUUCAUAGGUACAAAGUUUCAAAGUGUUCGUGUCCAUGAAAGAAUUUAUGUUCGAGCUGGUUGGCUUUGACUUCAACUGGUCCAACUGUGGCCAUAGGCACCAUGGUGGGGCUGGGAAUUUAAAAAAAAUAUUAUAUAGCCUUAAAUUUUUCAAAAUAAUAAUGUGUUGUGGGUCCAAAAGAAAUCUUUUGCUCCUCAUUUUAUAUUUGUUUUAAAGCAUUUACUAAUAGAAUAGAAAGACAUCCCAGGCCCCCCUAAAGCUAUUACAUGAUCAGUGCCUAUGUUGUUGUACUUACCUUGCCAUGAUGAUAUUCAGGUACUAGAGGGCAUUCACUCGCAAUAUUUGAUCAUGUAACUCUCAUUAAUGAACUGUUUUAAAUAUUUGAAGGAUACAGGAUAUGAUAUGAUGAUCCUUGAAAUUAUUUUAUUGCUUCAGUGAAAUAAAACUAACAGUCGUGCAUUAA